UCAGCUCGCAUGGAUUACGUCCCUGCCCUUUGUACACACCGCCCGUCGCACCUACCGAUUGAAUGAUUCGGUGAAAAUUCUGGACUGUGGCUCGGACGCCUUCGGGCGACCUUGCUGUGGGAAGUUAUUUAAACCUCAUCAUUUAGAGGAAGGUGAAGUCGUAACAAGGUUUCCGUAGGUGAACCUGCGGAAGGAUCAUUACCACACCCUCAAAUA
rnacentral:rRNA from 1 species